rnacentral:rRNA from 1 species
AUCCCAGUUCGGAUUGCAGGCUGCAACCCGCCUGUAUGAAGUUGGAAUCGCUAGUAAUCGCGGAUCAGCAUGCCGCGGUGAAUACGUUCCCGGGCCUUGUACACACCGCCCGUCACACCAUGAGAGUCGGGAACACCCGAAGUCCGUAGCCUAACCGCAAGGGGGGCACGGCCGAAGGUGGGUUCGAUAAUUGGGGUGAAGUCGUAACAAGGUAUC